rnacentral:rRNA from 1 species
GACGAACGCUGGCGGCGUGCUUAACACAUGCAAGUCGAACGGUGAAGCUCCAGCUUGCUGGAGUGGAUCAGUGGCGAACGGGUGAGUAACACGUGAGCAACCUGCCCCUGACUCUGGAAUAAGCGCUGGAAACGGCGUCUAAUACUGGAUACGAGAAGGGUCCGCAUGGGCACUUUCUGGAAAGUUUUUCGGUUGGGGAUGGGCUCGCGGCCUAUCAGCUUGUUGGUGAGGUAAUGGCUCACCAAGGCGACGACGGGUAGCCGGCCUGAGAGGGCGACCGGCCACACUGGGACUGAGACACGGCCCAGACUCCUACGGGAGGCAGCAGUGGGGAAUAUUGCACAAUGGGCGAAAGCCUGAUGCAGCGACGCCGCGUGAGGGAUGACGGCCUUCGGGUUGUAAACCUCUUUCAGCAGGGAUGAAGCGAAAGUGACGGUACCUGCAGAAGAAGCACCGGCUAACUACGUG